GCCGGCAUAGCUCAGCUGGUAGAGCACGUGAUUUGUAAUCACGGGGUCGGGGGUUCGAAUCCCUCUGCCGGCACCA
rnacentral:tRNA from 1 species